UACGAAGGGGGCUAGCGUUGCUCGGAAUCACUGGGCGUAAAGGGGGCGUAGGCGGGUCUUUAAGUCAGGGGUGAAAUCCUGGAGCUCAACUCCAGAACUGCCUUUGAUACUGAAGAUCUUGAGUUCGGGAGAGGUGAGUGGAACUGCGAGUGUAGAGGUGAAAUUCGUAGAUAUUCGCAAGAACACCAGUGGCGAAGGCGGCUCACUGGCCCGAUACUGACGCUGAGGCACGAAAGCGUGGGGAGCAAACCGG
rnacentral:rRNA from 1 species